ACAAAUUGUCUGCAGUGAUAUCCUUCCUAGAUUUGGCUUGCUCAUCACACUGGUAGACUUUAGAAUGUCACUUUCUACAAUUAAUUAAGGUUAUACUACAAAUGAGAGAGAAUUAAUGUUCAGUUUUGUCAUACUGAAAUAGCCAAUGUGUACAUGGGUGUGGUCUUUGGUGGUUUAUAUUCUUGAUUUGCUGUUUCGUCUUCCCUUUGUAACAUUGUGCAGUUAAUUUUCAACCCAUGAGUGAGAGCAACUGGAUAUUUGAAUUCCACUGAAAUAACAAAUUGUCUGCAGAUUUGAUUUGCUCAGCACACUGGCAGACUUUAGAACGCCACCUUCUACAAUUAAUUAAGAUUGUCCCACAAAUGACGAGGGAUUGUAGUUAAUUUUGAUGCUACUGAAGCAACCGAUGCUUUUGAUGUCUUCACCUUGCAACAUUAUGCAGUUAACUUUAGCCAUAACAACGGGAGGCAGUUGGAAAUUAAUUAAUUUGGAAGCGACUGGAACAACAAAUUGUUUGCAAUGAUCCCUCCUAGAUUUGGCUUGUUCAUCACACUGGUAGACUUUAGAACGCCACUUUCUACAAUUAAUUAAAGUUAUACAACAAAUGAGAGAGAAUUAAUGUUCAGUUUUGUCAUACUGAAAUAGCCAAUGUGUACGUGGGUGUGGUCUUUCGUGGUUUAUAUUCUUGAUUUGCUGUUUCGUCUUCACCUUGUAACAUCAUGCAGUUAAUUUUCAACCCAUGAGUGAGAGCAACUGGAUAUUUAUUUGAAUUCCACUGAAAUAACAAUUUCUCUGCUACGGUGUUCCUCCUGGAGUUAGUUUGCUUUUCACACCUGUAAACUAACUUUGGAACGUUACGUUCUACAUUUAAUUAAGGUGAGAAUACUUGAUAUAAUUAAUUUUAAUCGCUUUUUAUUAAUCUGUUUGCCACCGUAUCUG